rnacentral:rRNA from 1 species
UACGUAGGGUGCAAGCGUUGUCCGGAAUUAUUGGGCGUAAAGAGCUCGUAGGCGGUCUGUCACGUCGGCUGUGAAAACCCGAGGCUCAACUUCGGGCCUGCAGUCGAUACGGGCAAACUAGAGUACUGCAGGGGAGACUGGAAUUCCUGGUGUAGCGGUGAAAUGCGCAGAUAUCAGGAGGAACACCGGUGGCGAAGGCGGGUCUCUGGGCAGUAACUGACGCUGAGGAGCGAAAGCGUGGGGAGCGAACAGG